GACGGAGUGGUUUGGCACCUCGAUGUCGGCUCGUCACAUCCCGGGGCUGGAGCAGGUCCCAAGGGUUAGGCUGUUCGCCUAUUAAAGUGGCACGCGAGCUGGGUUCAGAACGUCGUGAGACAGUUCGGUCCCUAUCUGUUGUGGGCGUUGGAGAUUUGCGAGGACCCGACACUAGUACGAGAGGACCGUGUUGGACAGACCUCCGGUUUACCGGUUGUUCCGCCAGGAGCACCGCCGGGUAGCCGCGUCUGGCAAGGAUAAGUGCUGAAAGCAUCUAAGCACGAAGCCCCCCUCAAGAUAAGAUCUCCUUAUAGGGUCGUCAGAGACGAUGACGUCGAUAGGUCGCAGGUGUAGAGGCGGUAACGUCUACAGCCGAGCGAUACUAAUUACCCGAACCCUUUCCG
rnacentral:rRNA from 1 species